rnacentral:rRNA from 1 species
AGACCCGAAACCCGGUGAUCUAGCCAUGGGCAGGUUGAAGGUUGGGUAACACUAACUGGAGGACCGAACCGACUAAUGUUGAAAAAUUAGCGGAUGACCUGUGGCUGGGGGUGAAAGGCCAAUCAAACCGGGAGAUAGCUGGUUCUCCCCGAAAGCUAUUUAGGUAGCGCCUCGUGAAUUCAUCUCCGGGGGUAGAGCACUGUUUCGGCUAGGGGGCCAUCCCGGCUUACCAACCCGAUGCAAACUGCGAAUACCGGAGAAUGUUAUCACGGGAGACACACGGCGGGUGCUAACGUCCGUCGUGAAGAGGGAAACAACCCAGACCGCCAGCUAAGGUCCCAAAGUCAUGGUUAAGUGGGAAACGAUGUGGGAAGGCCCAGACAGCCAGGAUGUUGGCUUAGAAGCAGCCAUCAUUUAAAGAAAGCGUAAUAGCUCACUGGUCGAGUCGGCCUGCGCGGAAGAUGUAACGGGGCUAAACCAUGCACCGAAGCUGCGGCAGCGACACUGUGUGUUGUUGGGUAGGGGAGCGUUCUGUAAGCCUGCGAAGGUGGCCUGUGAGGGUUGCUGGAGGUAUCAGAAGUGCGAAUGCUGACAUAAGUAACGAUAAAGCGGGUGAAAAGCCCGCUCGCCGGAAGACCAAGGGUUCCUGUCCAACGUUAAUCGGGGCAGGGUGAGUCGACCCCUAAGGCGAGGCCGAAAGGCGUAGUCGAUGGGAAACGGGUUAAUAUUCCCGUACUUGGUGUUACUGCGAAGGGGGGACGGAGAAGGCUAUGUUGGCCGGGCGACGGUUGUCCCGGUUUAAGCGUGUAGGUGUGUGUUCCAGGUAAAUCCGGUUCACUUUAACACUGAGGCGUGAUGACGAGGCACUACGGUGCUGAAGCAACAAAUGCCCUGCUUCCAGGAAAAGCCUCUAAGCAUCAGGUAACAUCAAAUCGUACCCCAAACCGACACAGGUGGUCAGGUAGAGAAUACCAAGGCGCUUGAGAGAACUCGGGUGAAGGAACUAGGCAAAAUGGUGCCGUAACUUCGGGAGAAGGCACGCUGACACGUAGGUGAAGUGAUUUACUCA